rnacentral:rRNA from 1 species
ACUCCUACGGGAGGCAGCAGUUAGAAUAUUCGGCAAUGGGAAGCCAUCGACCGAGCGACACUGCGUGAAGGAGGAAAGGGCCUUAGGGAGCUUUGGUUAAAACUUUCCUGAAACGAGAGACGAUAAUGACGGUAUCUCGGUAAUAGCACCGGCUAACUCCGUGCCAGCAGCCGCGGUAAUACGGAGGGUGCGAGCGUUAUCCGGAAUCACUGGGCGUAAAGGGCGCGUAGGCGGUUACAUAAGUCCGAUGUUAAAGCGUAGGGCUCAACCCUAUAAAGGCGUUGGAUACUGUGAAACUAGACUUCUGGAGAGGUAAGUGGAAUUACCANAGUAGCGGUGAAAUGCGUAGAUACUGGUAGGAACACCCAUAGCGAAGGCAGCUUACUGGACAGAGAGUGACGCUGAGGCGCGAAAGUGUGGGGAGCAAACCGGAUUAGAUACCCUGGUAGGAUAGCGU